GGAAAGGUCGCAUAGUUGGUCUAGUGCGCCGGUUUGCUAAACCGGUGUACAGGUGAAAGCCUGUACCGAGGGUUCGAAUCCCUCCCUUUCCG
rnacentral:tRNA from 1 species